rnacentral:rRNA from 1 species
GAAACUUAAAGGAAUUGACGGGGACCCGCACAAGCAGCGGAGCAUGUGGUUUAAUUCGAAGCAACGCGAAGAACCUUACCAGAUCUUGACAUCCAAUUGACCAUCUUUUAAUCGAGAUUUUGCCUUCGGGUACAAUUGAGACAGGUGGUGCAUGGUUGUCGUCAGCUCGUGUCGUGAGAUGUUGGGUUAAGUCCCGCAACGAGCGCAACCCUUGUGUUUAGUUGCAAACAGGUCAAGCUGUGCACUCUAGACAGACUGCCGUGGACAACACGGAGGAAGGUGGGGAUGACGUCAAAUCAUCAUGCCCCUUAUGAUCUGGGCUACACACGUGCUACAAUGGCCGGUACAACGGGCAGCGAAGGAGCGAUCCGGGGCGAAUCCUAAAAAGCCGGUCCCAGUUCGGAUUGCAGGCUGAAACUCGCCUACAUGAAGUUGGAGUUGCUAGUAAUCGCGAAUCAGAAUGUCGCGGUGAAUGCGUUCCCGGGUCUU